AGUGAACGCUGGCGGUAGGCCUAACACAUGCAAGUCGAACGGCAGCACAGUAAGAGCUUGCUCUUACGGGUGGCGAGUGGCGGACGGUUGAGGAAUACAUCGGAAUCUACUUUUUCGUGGGGGAUAACGUAGGGAAACUUACGCUAAUACCGCAUACGACCUACUGGUGACAGCAGGGGAUCUUCUGACCUUGUGCGAUUGAAUGAGCCGAUGUCGGAUUAGCUAGUUGGCGGGGUAAAGGCCCACCAAGGCGACGAUCCGUAGCGGGUCUGAGAGGAUGAUCCGCCACCCUGGAACUGAGAAACGGUCGAGACACCUACGGGAGGAAGCAGUGGGGAAUAUUGGACAAUGGGCGCAAGCCUGAUCCAGCCAUACCGGGUGGGUGAAGAAGGACUUCGGGUUGUAAAACGAUUUUGUUGGGAAAGAAAAGCAGCAGGUUAAUACCCCGCUGUUAUGACGGUACCCAAAGAAUAAGCACCGGCUAACUUCGUG
rnacentral:rRNA from 1 species